GUCAAUCUGCCUGAACCAAAAAAUUUAGAGACGGUAUCCCUGAAAAGAACGAGCUCUGCCACUAACAUCGAUCAGGCAGAGACAGAGUCUUCGGCGCCAAAGAGAGCUAGACUUGGUUUCCAUAACGAACACUUGGUAAUGCAGGAGGAAGGUGUUUACCUCGUAAAUACCGCAUAUAAAAACCGAAUUGCUACAUACCGGCUUUUAUCAAAUAAAAACAUUACCAG